ACCCCUGGCCCCCCUCCCCACCCCUGUGUGCCCACCAGAGCCAUUGCAUGUCCUCCUCCCAACCCUGCAAGCUGAGCUGAGCUGCCCCUGCCCGACUGACCUGGCCCUCAAGGGACGCCCUUGAUGCCGAGUACAUCAUGAGAAACGCUGGGCUGGAAGAAUAUCAAUGCCCUACCAGGGGGCGCCAUGCCAACGGAACCCUCCCAAGAGAAUUCCAUUCCAACGGAAUUCCACAGGCUCAACCCUCAUGCAGAAUUCCAUUCCGACGGGAUUCCACAGGCUCAACCCUCUUGCAGAGGCCCCCAGAUCCCCAGGAGUCGCCAGAAAUGAUUUGUGUACCUCGUCGCGAAAUACUGAGUGCAAACGCGCAGCGUGUGCAUUUUAAGGGGAGUUUCCUUCAAGAACAAAGGCAGUUAUGACUGUGCCGUUGAUAUCCGUGUGCAGGUCCAUGAAAGUCAUUUCUUUGAAGUCCUUAUAAGCCCAAGAAGCAAAAGAAAAAAAAAGUUCUCAAAAAUACGAUUUCAAAGGAAAGUGCAGCAAUUCUAAGGAACUGAGGAAGUCAAC
rnacentral:lncRNA from 1 species